UACGUAGGGGGCAAGCGUUGUCCGGAAUCAUUGGGCGUAAAGCGCGUGUAGGCGGCCCGGUAAGUCCGCUGUGAAAGUCGGGGGCUCAACCCUGGAAUGCCGGUGGAUACUGGCGGGCUAGAGUGCAGAAGAGGCGAGUGGAAUUCCUGGUGUAGCGGUGAAAUGCGCAGAUAUCAGGAGGAACACCGGUGGCGAAGGCGCCACUCUGGUCCGUUACUGACGCUGAGGAGCGAAAGCGUGGGUAGCAAACAGG
rnacentral:rRNA from 1 species